rnacentral:rRNA from 1 species
AGUGAACGCUGGCGGCAGGCCUAACACAUGCAAGUCGAACGGCAGCACAGAAGAGCUUGCUCUCUGGGUGGCGAGUGGCGGACGGGUGAGGAAUAUAUCGGAAUCUACCCUUUCGUGGGGGAUAACGUAGGGAAACUUACGCUAAUACCGCAUACGAACUGAGGUUGAAAGCGGCGGACCGCAAGGCGUCGCGCGGAUGGAUGAGCCGAUAUCCAAUUAGCUAGUUGCGGGGGUAAAGGCCCACCAAGGCGACGAUCGGUAGCUGGUCUGAGAGGAUGAUCAGCCACACUGGAACUGAGACACGGUCCAGACUCCUACGGGAGGCAGCAGUGGGGAAUAUUGGACAAUGGGCGCAAGCCUGAUCCAGCCAUGCCGCGUGUGUGAAGAAGGCCUUCGGGUUGUAAAGCACUUUUGUUGGGAAAGAAAAGCGGUCGGUUAAUACCCGGUCGUUCUGACGGUACCCAAAGAAUAAGCACCGGCUAACUUCGUGCCAGCCGCCGCAGUAACAC